rnacentral:lncRNA from 1 species
GAGCACAACCCGGCCCUCCCUCCAGCGACAGAGAGGAGCGAAGCGCUGCCAGCUCUGGCAUGGAUACGGAGCCAGGCUCACACAGGGGAAUGGACCCAGGGCCAGAAAAACUUGGCAAGGAAUGGCUAAGAGUACCACCUGUGUGGAACGCUUCUGGAACAUUCUACUGCUCAAAGACAAGAGGAGGAUCAGCUGUGGAGAGGGAGAGAGGAGACAAGAGGAGGAUCAGCUGUGGAGAGAGAGAGGAGACAAGAGGAGGAUCAGCUGUGGAGAGAGAUGAGACAAGAGGAGGAUCAGCUGUGGAGAGAGAGGAGACAAGAGGAGGAUCAGCUGUGGAGAGAGAGGAGACAAGAGGAGGAUCAGCUGUGGAGAGAGAGAGGAGACAAGAGGAGGAUCAGCUGUGGAGAGAGGAGACAAGAGGAGGAUCAGAUGUGGAGAGAGAGGAGACAAGAGGAGGAUCAGCUGUGGAGAGAGAGAGGGGACAACUCCUUUGGGUUGUGCCGUGGGGGAGAUCUUCGUGGGCUAUAAUCGGCCUUGUCUCAGGAUGAGGACCUGAGCCCUAGGACCAUGCCUCAGGACUACCUGGCCUGAUGAUUCCUUGCUGUCCCCAGUCCACCUGGCCGUGCUGCUGCUCCAGUUUCAACUGUUCUGCCUGCGGCUAUGGAACCCUGACCUGUUCACCGGACGUGUUAUCUGUCCCAGACCUGCUGUUUUCAACUCUCUAGAGACAGCAGGAGCGGUAGAGAUACUCUGAACGACUGGCUAUAAAAUGCCAACUGACAUUUACUCCUGAGGUGCUGACCUGUUGCACCCUCUACAACCACUGUGAUUAUUAUUAUUUGACCCUGCUGGUCAUCCAUGAACAUUUGAACAUCUUGGCCAUGUUCUGUUAUAAUCUCCACCCGGCACAGCCAGAAGAGGACUGGCCACCCCAUAGCCUGGUUCCUCUCGAGGUUUCUUCCUAGGUUCUGGCCUUUCUAGGGUGUUUUUCCUAGCCACUGUGCUUCUACACCUGCAUUGCUUGCUGUUUGGGGUUUUAGGCUGGGUUUCUGUACAGCACUUUGUGACAUCAGCUGAUGUAAGAAGGGAUUUAUAAAUACAUUUGAUUGAUUGAUUGACAAUAGGAGGAUCAGCUGUGGAAAGAGAGAGGAGACAAGGAGGAAAAGCUGUAGAGAGAGAGUAGACAAGAGGAGGAUCAGCUGUGGAGAGAGAGGAGACAAGAGGAGGAUCAGCUGUGGAGAGAGAGAGGAGACAAGAGGAGGAUCAGCUGUGGAGAGAGAGUAGACAAGAGGAGGAUCAGCUGUGGAGAGAGAGGAGAUCCUUCCCUGCUCCAAUAGACUAUUACAGCCUUAAUUUGGACUCUCACAUUGGGAUUUUAAUAGAUCAAAACAAGACAAUAUUUUAACUCCUCAGGUUAGUUGUUAUGUAAACUUGUUUUGGUGAAGAAGAGGAUUGACCUUGCAGAUUCUGUUGUUGCCACAGUGUUCUAUUUGAAAUACACUCAGCUUUGAACUUGUUAUUUUGUCUGUCGCAGUCAGGAAGUAAAUUACAAUGGGAGAGAGAAGGAUUCACAAUGGAAGGUAAAAGGCUUACUUCAGAGUAAUAGGGAUGGAGAAAUUACAUUUAACACCAGUGUAGAGACAGAGAAGUUAUUACCCUAGCGGUUAUUGGAUUUGCUGUGAGUGGACCUCUCAGUUUUGAAAAAGGUUCCCCUUCAUAAUAGAACUGCAAACAUAUCAUUGAAGUACAGUAAGCUCGUACUAUCCCUAUGAUCAGCUGGCUCCAGUUCAUUACAUAGAUACUAUCUAGAAUUACACAGUGACUUUCCUCCCACUCCUCCAUGGAGCUCUUCUGAGCUUAACUUAUUUACCAGUCUCUCCUUUUGAUUGCAAUCUAUUAAGAAUUACCUGCCUCCCAGCUCAGUCAGAACAAUUACAUUGCUCUGCAGUCUGUAUUGGAAAUCGAUAGCUGCCUGGGUUCAAUCAAGCCCAGUUGAUAGUCCUCUUUAACCCAGAGACGCCAGAGGAGAUGUCUAUUGAAGGUGACGCCGAUUGUCACUCGGACUCAAUCCGGCCCCCUGUCGUGAGACGGAGAGGGAACGAUCUGCCCGGCAGAAUGAUUCCUCCACCUGAGUCGCUCCUCAGAUCGAUGGGAAUGGUGUUGUGAUUCUCCCGACUCCUCCCUAAUUGCUACAGCAGGUGAAUGAGGGAGACAUUGAUUCUGCAUGUCUGCCUGGUGUGUUAAGACAUCAACAACCCUGCUGUGGCUACUCCAUUACCAAGGCGUUUGAACACACAAUAACUAAUGUUAGCUCAUCAUGACUGAGAACUGCAUGAUAUUGUAAGGUCAGACAAGGCAAGACUAGUUAUCCAUACAGUAGAACAAUGAACUUAGUAUAUUUUGUGUUGUAAUCUACUCCUCUGGGAUAGCACAUGAUAGAGUCCUGCGUCCCAAAUGGUAUCCUAUUCCCUGUAUAUUUCACUAUAGUUCACCACUUUUGACUAGAGACCUGUAGGCCCUGGUUGAAAUGAAUGCAAUACAUAGGGAAUAGGUUGCCAUUUGGGACGCAGACAUUGAAGUUCCUUGAUUGACACAAGUUGUACUUGAGAAAAGUCAUUGUAUGGCAACAUGCAGCUGGACUCCAGAUCCUAAACAAACUGGACAGCAGUAUAGUCCCCUGAAUUAAAAACAGAUAUAUUUAUAGACUGGUAAAUCAAUCCAACUCAACAUCACAGUGAAGUAGAACAGCUAACAUGACAGCACUCAGCAUGAGAGGAGAAGGAGAAGGAGAAGGAGAAGGAGAAGGAGAAGGAGAAGGAGAGCAGUAACUUAGGUAUCUAAACCAAGGGGGCCUUCCAGCUAAAUGUUCACAGAGGAUAUUCAAAUGCCUCUCCACAGCUUUCUAGUUUCAGGAUCAGAUUGGGUUUCUUUCUCACCGCGAGGGAAGGGGAUUAAGCUGUCAGCACCACAACAACAAGCAAUUGCUAACAGCCUUUCAAAAGUGAAUUCUGGCACUGAUGACAACUCUCUGUGCCGUAGCAGUCAUUGGUGGUGACAGUUCACACAAAGAGGCGCGCAUGCACCACACCUGAAGUCAAGCGUGAGGGUCUCACCUGUAAACACAAUGCAAUCCGUCUUCACACAGACCUCUGGGAAUACUUGGCAUUUAAAAAGUGGCUGUGUAUAUCAGGACAGGUUAAUGUGCCCGCUUUUCUUUCUUAAAUGCUACAUGUUAUUAUGGAGCCUGUCUGGAUGCUAUUAAAACGCAGCAGUGGCAGAGGAGCAGUAAUAAACUACCUCAUGAAUGUGGC